AUGAGACAGGAUUAUGAAUAGUUGAACACAGUGUGAUACAUGAUCUAUAUCAGGCUGCCUUUUGCCUUUGCCCACUCUAUUUCUCUCUUCUGUUCACUUAGUGAGAGACGGAUUAUAUUAUGCCUGAUUAUAUUGAGGAGUGGACCAGCACUGGAGAUAACCCUGUACAGACACAACAUCUGACUAUAACCUCUACCCUCUCUACCUCCAGCUAUAGUCGAGUCCUACCAGUCCACGGCCAAGGGACGACCGGCCACACGUUAAAGGCUACGUACAAAACCUGGUGGAUUUGUUGUUCAGCAGCAUCUGGGAACCAUAUCAGGAGCUGUUACAGAAGGCUGAGGCAGUGGCCAGACACCAGUCCUGCAUCAGGGAGCUGGGUCAGAUAUACUGUAGAAGCUGAAGUCGGGCUCCUUCAUGACCAGUAUCUGUGAUUAGAGGGGCAUGGAACUGGUCUAUGCUGCCAUGCCCAUCAGGCAUUGGCCAACACCUCAGAAGGGACAAAAGAUGCAGGACAGAAGAGAUGCUUUUGAAAUGGAGUCCAAUGACUGAAAUACUUCAUACUGGUUCAUACUGAUGUCUGAAUUGGGAAAGACAUUGAACUCAGCAUUAAAAUAAUACAAGACACAUCUUUA